UACAUAGGGGGCGAGCGUUGUUCGGAAUUACUGGGCGUAAAGGGCGCGUAGGCGGCCUUCUAAGUCAGACGUGAAAUCCCUCAGCUUAACUGGGGAACUGCGACUGAUACUGGAUGGCUUGGAUCCGGAAGAGGGAUGCGGAAUUCCAGGUGUAGCGGUGAAAUGCGUAGAUAUCUGGAGGAACACCGGUGGCGAAGGCGGCACCCUGGGCCGGUAUUGACGCUGAGGAGCGAAAGCCAGGGGAGCAAACGGG
rnacentral:rRNA from 1 species